AAUAUUUGACAAUGGGGGCAACCCCGAUCCAGCCAUGCCGCGCGUGUGAAGAAGGUCCUCGGAUUGUAAAGACCUCUAAGUUGGGAGGAAGUGCUUUAGGCUAAUACCCUGUAGCUAGGACGUUACCACCAGAAUAAGCUCCGGCUCUCCAUGCGCCAGCAGCCUCGCUAAUACAGAGGUUGCAAGCGUUAAUCGGAAUUACUGGGCGAAAAGCGCGCGUAGGUGGUUCAGUAAGAUGGGUGUGAAAUCCCCGGGCUUAACCUGGGAACUGCUUUCAUAACUGCUGAGCUAGAGUACGGUAGAGGGUAGUGGAAUUUCCUGUGUAGCGGUGAAAUGCGUAGAUAUAGGAAGGAACACCAGUGGCGAAGGCGACUACCUGGACUGAUACUGACACUGAGGUGCGAAAGCGUGGGGAGCAAAC
rnacentral:rRNA from 1 species